rnacentral:rRNA from 1 species
AGGACGAACGCUGGCGGCGUGCUUAACACAUGCAAGUCGAGCGGAAAGGCCCUUCGGGGUACUCGAGCGGCGAACGGGUGAGUAACACGUGAGGAACCUGCCCUGGACUUUGGGAUAACCCUCGGAAACGGGGCUAAUACCGAAUACGACUACCGGCCGCAUGGUUGGUGGUGGAAAGUUUUUCGGUCUGGGAUGGUCUCGCGGCCUAUCAGCUUGUUGGUGGGGUAAUGGCCUACCAAGGCGACGACGGGUAGCC